rnacentral:rRNA from 1 species
UCGGGUAUCGCUUCGAGAUGGGCUCGCGGCCUAUCAGCUUGUUGGUGAGGUAAUGGCUCACCAAGGCUACGACGGGUAGCUGGUCUGAGAGGACGAUCAGCAACACUGGAACUGAGACACGGUCCAGACACCUACGGGUGGCAGCAGUCGAGAAUCAUUCACAAUGGGGGCAACCCUGAUGGUGCAACGCCGCGUGGAGGAUGAAGGCCCUAGGGUCGUAAACUCCUGUCAUAUGAGAGUAAGGCAUAUGUGUUAAUACCAUGUAUGUUUGAUAGUAUCAUAAGAGGAAGGGACGGCUAACUUCGUGCCAGCAGCCGCGGUAAUACGAAGGUCCCGAGCGUUAUUCGGAAUCACUGGGCGUAAAGAGUACGUAGGCGGUUUGGUAAGUCAGGUGUGAAAUCCCGGAGCUCAACUCCGGAACUGCAUCCGAUACUGCUAGACUUGAGUAAUGGAGGGGCAGGUGGAAUUCUCGGUGUAGCAGUGAAAUGCGUGGAUAUCGAGAGGAAGACCAAUGGCGAAGGCAGCCUGCUGGACAUUUACUGACGCUGAGGUACGAAGGCCAGGGUAGCGAAAGGGAUUAGAUACCCCUGUAGUC